rnacentral:rRNA from 1 species
UGCCACGCUGAUGCGAUUUCGGUCAAAUCAUGUGGCAUUCGAGUGGCGGACGGGUGAGUAACGCGUGGGUAACCUGCCUUACACAGGGGGAUAACACCUGGAAACAGGUGCUAAUACCGCAUAAGCGCACAGGGCCGCAUGGCCCGGUGUGAAAAACUCCGGUGGUGUAAGAUGGACCCGCGUCUGAUUAGCUUGUUGGCGGGGUAGGGGCCCACCAAGGCGACGAUCAGUAGCCGGCCUGAGAGGGUGGACGGCCACAUUGGGACUGAGACACGGCCCAAACUCCUACGGGAGGCAGCAGUGGGGGAUAUUGGACAAUGGGGGAAACCCUGAUCCAGCGACGCCGCGUGAGUGAAGAAGUAUUUCGGUAUGUAAAGCUCUGUCAGCAGGGAAGAAAGAAAUGACGGUACCUGACCAAGAAGCCCCGGCUAACUACGUGCCAGCAGCCGCGGUAAUACGUAGGGGGCAAGCGUUAUCCGGAAUUACUGGGUGUAAAGGGAGCGUAGACGGUGAUGCAAGUCUGGAGUGAAAGGCGGGGGCCCAACCCCCGGACUGCUCUGGAAACUGUGUAACUUGAGUGCAGGAGAGGUAAGCGGAAUUCCUAGUGUAGCGGUGAAAUGCGUAGAUAUUAGGAGGAACACCAGUGGCGAAGGCGGCUUACUGGACUGUAACUGACGUUGAGGCUCGAAAGCGUGGGGAGCAAACAGGAUUAGAUACCCUGGUAGUCCACGCCGUAAACG